CGCUCCAUUAGACUAGUGGUUAGAGCGUCCGCCUCAGAUGCAGGAGGUCGCGGGUUCGAACCACGGUAGAGUCA